CCUGGGAAGAGGAUGUGUGGGAAUCAAGAAGAGAAAAUGAGAUAUGAGAAUCUACAAAGAUUGGGAUAUGGUUAUGGAUGAUGAAGAAGAUGAUGGUGAUGUUGAGGAUGAUGAAAAUGGUGUUGCAUAAUGGGAAUUUGAUUUCAGGAGACUAGAGAGAAGGUUGGUUGGUAGUGGUGGCGGCCAGGGAACGUGAGGUGGAGGUGAGAGGAUUGAGUUUGGAUGAUUCUUUGUGUUAGCGUCAAGCGUUAUGAAUUUGUGUGGUUCUUGUUAAGUGAGAGGGAGGCUCUUUAGUUAGGCUUCAG
rnacentral:lncRNA from 1 species